AAAGAAAUUAAUAAAGAAAAGCUUCUAACUUUUCAAAAAAGCAUUCAAUUGUUUAAGUUUCUA
rnacentral:tRNA from 1 species